rnacentral:rRNA from 1 species
GCGUGUGUGAAGAAGGCCUUCGGGUUGUAAAGCACUUUAAGUUGGGAAGAAAAAGCUUCACCUAAUACGUGGAGCCUUGACGGUACCGACAGAAUAAGCACCGGCUAACUCUGUGCCAGCAGCCGCGGUAAUACAGAGGGUGCUAGCGUUAAUCGGAUUUACUGGGCGUAAAGCGUGCGUAGGCGGUUUGAUAAGUCGAUUGUGAAAGCCCCGGGCUCAACCUGGGAAUUGCGGUCGAUACUGUCAGACUAGAAAACGGUAGAGGGAGGUGGAACUCCAGGUGUAGCGGUGAAAUGCGU